rnacentral:lncRNA from 1 species
GCUUUUUUACCUCAGGCAAAUAGGCAGUUGAUUUUUUAAAAAUUUGAUUGUUGAAGCUGCUUUUUAGUCAUAGCGUCAAGGUUUUUGUACUUGAUUAACCACCGACAGCCUAUUGGUAUCGAUGUGUUUCCUGGCCGUUGGCGUUCGAAUACCACGGCGGUAAAACAUUUUCGAAAGCAUGCUGGUUUCGUCUCCGAGUCAUUACAUAGACUUGCUGUAAAGAGGUCUACUCUGAGCAAAAAAUAGUGCCUCAUUUUGUUUAGGCGUUGAUUAUCAUAAUGAAUGCGGCGGAGGUUGAAGGAGUACGCUUGAAGGUACGUUUUUAUGCCGUUGAUCUCCAUAACACCGUAAGUACGCAAACCGAUGUCACAGAACACCCGAUGCAUCAUUGUGUGUUCUCCGUCAUCGCUUGUUUGCUGUACGCCUACUAAUUCUUCAUUUCUUCUUCAAGUGUUGUAUCCUCCUUUUGUCCUUGCUCUCUUGUGCUUCACUUACAGUAUAUCGUUCCGUCAGCUGUAAUGCGCAUUUGCAAAACCAAUACGUUUGAUAAGACGCAGUGGUUAUCAUAAUUUCACUACACGUGUAUUAAGCUGGCACAUAUGGUUCAGAUACAGAUACCUGUAUGCGAACUUGCACGACGUUGAUGCGGAGAUUAGCAUAAUUAUGACACCCGUAAGGAAGAGGCAGCUGACGGCCGUAUAAGCUGUUGCGUUCUUUCCGCCAAACUACCCGGCCUGGUAGUGCUGUAAAGAUGCUGUAUAAAAGUGACACGCGGUGACAGGGAAAUUAUUAUGCUUAGCAGCCGACCGUACGUUUUGUAGCUUAGGUCUUCUUUCUUGUGCUUUUGUGCUACCCUUAUUAAUGAGCCAUUUCUUGACUAUGUUCUUGACUAUGUAACCGCGUUUGUGUGGAUGCGUAGACGUGUGCUUUUCGUUGUACUUGUAAAAUGCAAAUAAAAUAUUUUCAGGCUUACUCAA